rnacentral:sRNA from 1 species
UGAGUAUCGUCAGCUUCUACUAUCGCCUU